rnacentral:misc_RNA from 1 species
GGGAAAUUUAGGGGCUGUUAUACUAAGUCAUGAGGUGUCAUUACUGGAUGUGAAGCUUUGGUAGAGUUGAUACCUUCGUUAAGUUUGAAGGAUAGAUGGAUAAAUAAAUCUUCAUUUUUGCAAAGGGGGUGCGGAUGCUGAAAUUCAGCAUAGGAGUCAGCACAUAAGCGAAGUAAAGACUCAUUCUGUUCUUGAAAGUCAAAUGGAGCUUCUGCUAAGGAGAAUAGCUUAGGUACUGAACAAGGUUCAACAACACACAUUUCUUGGGAAAAUAUAUUUUCCUGAGAAAAUUAUUAUUUAUGAGGGAAUAGUAUUGUUUGGUUCAAUUUUAUUUCCUAUUAAAUAUCAUUUCCAUAUUUACUUCACUCGCUAAUUUUGUAUUUACCCAUGAGAUUACAGUCAUUAAAGAACAAAUUAAGAGUGACAGAGUGAGCAUAAACAUGACUGAGAUUAUACUGCGGAGAACGUGAGAAAGAGAGAGAGAGUAGAAAGGACCUCGAAGGUUGGAGUCUUAGAGAUGUGUUGAGAAUCUAGAAGUGAAAGCGAUCUUUGAGGUUGGAAUUGAGAUUGUGAAGAUGAAGACGUCAACAUUGCAAUAGCUAUUGGGUUCUUCUUGCUGCAUUUUGUUACUGAGAUUCUUCUUCUUC